GACGUAGUGCGGGGGAGCCGCCUGGCUGAGAUGAUCGCCGCAAGACGCUGAUCGAACCCCUUGAACCUGAUGCGGGUAAUGCCGCCGAAGGAAGCGAGGCUUGGCCAUGC
rnacentral:ncRNA from 2 species